rnacentral:rRNA from 1 species
GAAUUUUUCGCAAUGGGCGCAAGCCUGACGAAGCAACGCCGCGUGGAGGAUGAAGGCCUUCGGGUUGUAAACUCCUGUCGACCGGGACGAAAGCAGUCUGGGCUAAUACCCCGGGCUGUUGACUGUACCGGUGGAGGAAGCCACGGCUAACUCUGUGCCAGCAGCCGCGGUAAUACAGAGGUGGCAAGCGUUGUUCGGAAUUACUGGGCGUAAAGGGCGCGUAGGCGGUUCGGUAAGUCCUGUGUGAAAUCCCUCGGCUCAACUGAGGAACUGCACGGGAGACUGCCGGGCUUGAGUUCGGGAGAGGGAAGCGGAAUUCCGGGUGUAGCGGUGAAAUGCGUAGAUAUCCGGAGGAACACCGGUGGCGAAGGCGGCUUCCUGGACCGACACUGACGCUGAGGCGCGAAAGCUAGGGGAGCAAACGGG